rnacentral:lncRNA from 1 species
GGACGGAGGGAGUAUUAUUCUCAAGCCUAUGGUCUUCUGUGCGUUAGAUAUGCACCUUGAUUCAACGAAAGUGUAUAAGUAAAUAUCGAUAGCAUAAGUUAACACAAGUUGCAUAUGAUUAAAAAAUGAUGUCUGUUACUUCUAAAUGGGAACUCACAGGUAGCACGAUUUUCCAUAUCUUGUUUUGCUGCUAAGGUUCAGGAGGGUAGCAAAAUUGUUUUAGAAAGUGGUAUACAAAAACGGAUUCUGUUUUCAGUCAAAAAUAAGGAUACUGAUCAUAACAAGACUUAGCUUUAAUUAAAAGAGUAAACCUUGACUUGCAUGCUAUAUACAAACUAUACCACUCUUUUAGUAUAAUGCCAGAAUGGCUUGUUUGUUGGAUAGAUAUUGUCAUUGACUGCCAUGUGCCUCUUGCGCUUGACUUCUAAGAGUUUUCAAGAUCAUUACUAUGGAAAACUAACUGGACUGGAAUUCCAACAAAAGAAAGGAAGCCAAUAUCAUUCUGGCUACCAACACAAAAACACACCCCUCAAAUAGGCAAUCAUGGAAGUACACAUACAUACAGAGAGAGAGAGAGAGAGAGAGAGAGAGAGAGAGACAGAGAGAGGUCCAGUCAACUCAAUCUGAUUGGGACGUGGAUGUCAGGGCAACCACCCCAGGUUUUGAUGAAGCGAUGGUGGUCAGCGAGUGGUCUUGAGCGGCUAGGGCUGCGGAGUGUCCAGGUCAUGUGGCGCUAGGGAUGGGCAUUCAGGUAAUAUUGUUAUCGGUUUGGUCAUUUCGGGUUUGCAAAAAACACAGGUUUCCUGAAAUGAAAACCGAACCCACUCUUGAGUAGCGUAAAUACUUGGGAACCCGUACGGACCAAAAAUUCGGUUUUGUCUGUUAGGGUACAAGAAACCAUCUUCUGUGGUAACCUCCAGGCUCCAGAGGGCUCCAAGCCUCCAAAUCCAGGUCACUGUUAUGGCAUUUCAUUGUUCAAGAAAUCAGUAAUCGGUAACUGCUCGGUCGGGUAGGGAUUAGCGAUUAAUCGGUUAUCGGACUGAUUAAUCGGUUUAAUCGGUCGACUAUUACACUAUAUAGUAUAUAUAAUUAUAUAUUGGCCUACUUGCCGCAUGAGAAUCUUGGGAAGGUGCAGCCAUCUAAAACAAAUCAAGAGAAGCAAAGGCAUCAGUGAAAAUAGAUGGGAGCAGCAGCAGCUUGGGAGGAAGCAAAGGCAUCAUUGAAGCUCUUCAAGGCUUCGAGCAGGGGCUGGCCGGCGGAUUAAUCCCGAUUAAUCGGUUGUCAGACCGAUUAAUCGGCUUGGGCGAUUAACUGCGGCGAUAAGUGUUAAUCUGCACGGUGGUCUGCCGAUCAGCGAUUAAUCGGCCGAUUAAUCGCUGAAUCGGCCGAUUUCUUGAACAAUGUGGCAUUUAUGGCUGCGGAACAGGCAACAAAAAAGUACUAAUAAGAUUCAGAAUUCCAGAGCCAAUUUGGACCCUAAUUCCGGCCGUUGUCGAUUUGGUGCUCGCUUGGGUGGUUGCAUCACCGCUUGUUGACAUUGGUUGCAGGCUCGCCGGAGCUCCCAGCUUCAUGCAGUGUCUGGGUCGAAAAGGUCUGCCUGGCAAAGAUGCAAUCUUGCCGCUGGGGAUCUCCUGAACGGGCCACUGUCACGUUUGAGGAUAGGAGUUUGUCUUAUUGAUGUCGUAGCGGCAACUGGGAACCCCACAUGUGUGGGUUGCUAGGGCAAAAACGGGUUUUGAGGUACUUAUGCCUCUGGUCAGGCCUUACAUGGAGUGGAAAAUAAGGAGUUAGUGCUUUAUUUAUUAGGGUAUGUGGUCUGUUCAGCUUCCAUGGACUCGAAUCUGACUUUAGAAUCAUAGACCAAACAGCAGCAGGAUUGUGGCCAAACCCCGAGAACCGAACUACCCGGCAAUUUGGUGUAUUUGAGUCUGGCCCGGUUUUUGGAUUUUCGUCAGAAUGUGCCCACCCCUAUGUGGCGCUUGAGCUCGUGGGGGCAUGAGGUGCAUGUUAGGCAAGCGGCCCUCAAAUGUGUUGUCAGUGGCUUUCGCAGGGCGCAGGGUGUCUCUGUAUGUGGGUUGUGGUGCAGGCGUUUGGACACGUGCCAUGUAGGUGGCGAGUUUGCGCCGUUGGCAGGUGCAAGUUCCAGGCCUAUUUGAGCUAGGUGGGCUGCGUGUGCCUGUUGGUUGUUUUUGACCGGUUUCCGUCAUUAACCGGUCAACUGUGAGGCUUUCGGUCCUGUUUCCCUUGUAAGCUGGAUCAAUUCUUUCUGCUUAAUGAAUAGCCAGAGCUCCUGUUAGUUGCCUGAAAAGAGAGGUUGGGAGAGAGAGAGAGAGGUGAAUUGUGUGGAUGGAAGGCCAGUAAGGGGAAAGAAAGAGAUUCCUGGAAUUGUACUUGCAAAGUUAAUUAGGGACUCAAGCACCUUAUGGUGCGUGGCAGCACCGCAUGCUGCAACAAAUGGCCACUGGUACAAUUUUGACACACGGUGAACCAAUUACACUAUUUCUGUGACAAUUUUAGACAUACUUCCACCUAUCUCGCAAGUUGUGUGUGGUGAGUCGUUCUACGUGUGGUGAACCAAUUAAUAAUAUUUACAAUGGUCAUGUGUUGAAACUAAUCCGCCAUUUUAAGGGUUCACGAGCAAAUUAUAAAUUUUACGCUGUCGUCAGCAAACAAAAGCAGUGCCCAAUAGCUAAAUCUGCCAAGUAAUACUGUUAUGUGUCAUUAGGGUGUAUCAACAAACAAGUGCAGUGUCGAAUAGCCAAAACUGUUGACUAAUACUUUUACGUGUCGUAUUAU